rnacentral:rRNA from 1 species
ACAGGCUUAACACAUGCAAGUCGAGGGGCAGCAUGGUCUUAGCUUGCUAAGGCCGAUGGCGACCGGCGCACGGGUGAGUAACACGUAUCCAACCUGCCGUCUACUCUUGGACAGCCUUCUGAAAGGAAGAUUAAUACAAGAUGGCAUCAUGAGUCCGCAUGUUCACAUGAUUAAAGGUAUUCCGGUAGACGAUGGGGAUGCGUUCCAUUAGAUAGUAGGCGGGGUAACGGCCCACCUAGUCUUCGAUGGAUAGGGGUUCUGAGAGGAAGGUCCCCCACAUUGGAACUGAGACACGGUCCAAACUCCUACGGGAGGCAGCAGUGAGGAAUAUUGGUCAAUGGGCGAGAGCCUGAACCAGCCAAGUAGCGUGAAGGAUGACUGCCCUAUGGGUUGUAAACUUCUUUUAUAAAGGAAUAAAGUCGGGUAUGGAUACCCGUUUGCAUGUACUUUAUGAAUAAGGAUUGGCUAACUCCGUGCCAGCAGCCGCGGUAAUACGGAGGAUCCGAGCGUUAUCCGGAUUUAUUGGGUUUAAAGGGAGCGUAGAUGGAUGUUUAAGUCAGUUGUGAAAGUUUGCGGCUCAACCGUAAAAUUGCAGUUGAUACUGGAUAUCUUGAGUGCAGUUGAGGCAGGCGGAAUUCGUGGUGUAGCGGUGAAAUGCUUAGAUAUCACGAAGAACUCCGAUUGCGAAGGCAGCCUGCUAAGCUGCAACUGACAUUGAGGCUCGAAAGUGUGGGUAUCAAACAGGAUUAGAUACCCUGGUAGUCCACACGGUAAACGAUGAAUACUCGCUGUUUGCGAUAUACUGCAAGCGGCCAAGCGAAAGCGUUAAGUAUUCCACCUGGGGAGUACGCCGGCAACGGUGAAACUCAAAGGAAUUGACGGGGGCCCGCACAAGCGGAGGAACAUGUGGUUUAAUUCGAUGAUACGCGAGGAACCUUACCCGGGCUUAAAUUGCAGAUGAAUUACGGUGAAAGCCGUAAGCCGCAAGGCAUCUGUGAAGGUGCUGCAUGGUUGUCGUCAGCUCGUGCCGUGAGGUGUCGGCUUAAGUGCCAUAACGAGCGCAACCCUUGUUGUCAGUUACUAACAGGUUCCGCUGAGGACUCCGACAAGACUGCCAUCGUAAGAUGUGAGGAAGGUGGGGAUGACGUCAAAUCAGCACGGCCCUUACGUCCGGGGCUACACACGUGUUACAAUGGGGGGUACAGAGGGCCGCUACCACGCGAGUGGAUGCCAAUCCCCAAAACCUCUCUCAGUUCGGACUGGAGUCUGCAACCCGACUCCACGAAGCUGGAUUCGCUAGUAAUCGCGCAUCAGCCACGGCGCGGUGAAUACGUUCCCGGGCCUUGUACACACCGCCCGUCAAGCCAUGGGAGCCGGGGGUACCUGAAGUGCGUAACCGCGAGGAGCGCCCUAGGGUAAAACUGGUGACUGGGGCUAAGUCAUA